rnacentral:rRNA from 1 species
AGAGUUUGAUCAUGGCUCAGGAUGAACGCUAGCUACAGGCUUAACACAUGCAAGUCGAGGGGAAACGACAUCGAAAGCUUGCUUUUGAUGGUCGUCGACCGGCGCACGGGUGAGUAACGCGUAUGCAACUUGCCUAUCAGAGGGGGAUAACCCGGCGAAAGUCGGACUAAUACCGCAUGAAGCAGGGGCCCCGCAUGGGGAUAUUUGCUAAAGAUUCAUCGCUGAUAGAUAGGCAUGCGUUCCAUUAGGCAGUUGGCGGGGUAACGGCCCACCAAACCGACGAUGGAUAGGGGUUCUGAGAGGAAGGUCCCCCACAUUGGUACUGAGACACGGACCAAACUCCUACGGGAGGCAGCA